UAGGUAGCUUAACCUUCGGGGGGGCGCUUACCACUUUGUGAUUCAUGACUGGGGUGAAGUCGUAACAAGGUAACCGUAGGGGAACCUGCGGUUGGAUCACCUCCUUACCUUAAAGAAGC
rnacentral:rRNA from 3 species